CCCCCUCUUAGAGAGCUCCAUGCCCCCUCUCUUCUCUUCUCCCUCUCUUCUCCCUUGGAGCAUCAACGCCCAAGUGUUGGGCAUCCCUUCUUCCUCCACAUCCAAAGGCUAUUGGGCAUCCUCUUGUGUGCUGGUUCCUAGUCCAUGGUAGCAGUAUAAUCAAGGGAAGAAAAGCAAAAGAAGAAGAGAAGAAGAAGAUCAAGAAAAGGAUCAAAGAGUUGAUCGUG
rnacentral:lncRNA from 1 species